UUUUCCUGUAGGUGGAACAUCUUCUAUUGUUUACCCAGCAGCCAUGUUUGGCCCUCGUAUUGCAUCCAGAGGUGUUCCAGUGGCGGAGUUUAAUAUAAAUACAACACCGAAAUCAGAAUAUUUCAUGUACCAUUUCCAGGGUCCAUGUGGAACUACACUGCCUCAAGCUUUGGCACAACAUGAGUCAGAGGUGUUUUAAAAAAAAAAACACCAGGCUGACUUUUUCAACAUUAGUUAGAUUUAAAAAA